rnacentral:lncRNA from 1 species
CGAGUCGACUCCCGUAAAUGUGCGAGUCGACUCCCCCUUACGAGCCGACUCUGAAACUUACUCGAGUCGUCUCGAACUCUGGCACGCACCUAAAAUCAUGCUAUGUUCGUGCCGAAUGAGGGAAAAUCACUAAGUUAUGAUCUGAUUUGAUGAUUAUUGAAAAGAAACUCUAUAUUAACCACAAUCUAAUCAUCAAAAUCAAUGAACUAGUGGAAAAUACCACUAGGAUGGAUCAAUCACUCCUAA